rnacentral:rRNA from 1 species
AUUGAACGCUGGCGGCAGGCCUAACACAUGCAAGUCGAACGAGUGGCGGACGGGUGAGUAAUGUCUGGGAAACUGCCCGAUGGAUGGGGAUAACUACUGGAAACGGUAGCUAAUACCGCAUACCAUAGGCUGUGCCCAGAUGGGAUUAGCUAGUAGGUGGGGUAACGGCUCACCUAGGCGACGAUCCCUAGCUGGUCUGAGAGGAUGAUCGGCCACACUGGGACUGAGACACGGCCCAGACUCCGACGGGAGGCAGCAGUAGGGAAUAUUCGGCAAUGGGCGAAAGUCUGAACGAGCCACGCCGCGUGAGUUAAGAAGGUUUUCGGAUUGUAAAGCUCUGUUGUGAGAGAAGCGGUAUCUAAAGAGAAAGCCACGGCUAACUACGUGCCAGCAGCCGCGGUAAUUC